rnacentral:lncRNA from 1 species
ACACACAUACAGGGCAGGGCUGGCCACGCUUUUCCACAAAUCCAGUUUCCGAAGAAGAAUAAUGAGAUGCUCCACGGUCCCCUCAGAAGAAAGGUUGCUAAAAAGCAACAAGGCUCUAGUGAGUGAAGUCUCUGAGCUGGUGCUGAUCUCGGGGAAGGCGAAUGUGGAUGAAAGGCAUCAAUUUUGCAGCAGCCAUGGCUUGUCCCAUGAGAGAUGAUUCUACCACAAGAACCCAACCACAAGGACGGCUCCUCUUUGAAGUUUUUACAGUCGAUCUCUGGAUCAGCCAGCGAAGUCCUGCUCCCAGAAUCCAGGGAGAGACCAUGAGUGCCCUCUAGGGCAUGGUACAAAGGGAGGAUUUGUUCCAGUAGAGAAUAGAAUAGGCCUUUUCUUUCACCUUUUGGUUUCCAGGUGCUGAAAUACAUGUAGGAGUCUUGGUAGUAAAAUCAAGCUUAAUGGUUAUUGAAAUAGAAC